rnacentral:rRNA from 1 species
AGAGUUUGAUCCUGGCUCAGGACGAACGCUGGCGGCGUGCUUAACACAUGCAAGUCGCACGGGCGGUUUUCGGACUGUCAGUGGCGGACGGGUGAGUAACGCGUAGGUAUCUGUCUUGGGGUGGGGGAUAACUGUGGGAAACUACAGCUAAUACCGCAUGAGGCCUGAGGGCCAAAGCUCGUGAGAGCGCCUGGGGAGGA